rnacentral:lncRNA from 1 species
CAAAAACACAAGACAUGUAUCGGUAUAAAAAUAUUUUCUCUUAGCAACAAUUUUUCAUACAGAUGGAAGAAUGUUCUUCCUGAAGCAGGACUCAGUGCUGGGGUACAGAAAAUUGUUCCUGAUGCUAUAAAUUUUUACUGCCAAGAGUUUUAAGAGCUAUAGAUAGUCAGAUUCUGUAAACUAAAGUCAUCUUCCAAAGUGCGAGGUUUCUAGUUGCAUCUUUACUGUAUUUACUCAGGUUGCCGCCAUAUAUAAAGGAGUGCAAGAGUCCAUAAAACUUACUCCCUCUGCUCUUGAAGGUGAACAGCACACUUUAGUAGCAAAAGAAAAUUGGUAGUGAAAGCAAAACAAGGAAAGAAAUCUCUCUGGGCCCUGCUUCUGUUUCUCAAAAGAAAACUGAAGCCUACCCAGAGGGUAAAUAUUGAGUCAGGAUCUAAACACAGUUGGACUUUACAGCUCUCAGGAUCGUAACACCUAACUUCUUCCAAAAAGUGAAAUGACUUUACUUCUAAUUUCCUCCAUUCAUCCAAUACCAUUUGAAAAUAGUGUCUGAGUGUAUACUAUUUUUCAAGCACUGUUCCUGGGAAUCCAGGUACACAGUAAACUUUAGAGACAAAGUUCCUGAUCUUAGUCCACUGUUCCAGUAGGAAAAGACAUCAACAUCGGGCCAAAUAGAUAAUAAAGAAA